UUAUUAUUAAGGUCAGCUAGCUCUACUAUUAAUUAUGGUGGAACUAUGUCAAAUAAAAAUUUAAUAGUAUGUAAAAAUAAAAAUUUUGAUUUGAUUGACAAAGAAGGUAAACAAGAAAAAAAAUUUUACAUAAAAAGUAUUAACAGUUUGGUACAUAACACAAACGGAAAGGAUAGUACAGGCGAAUCCGACAAAACGUUUGAAAUUAAAAAACAAGCGAGUGAUAUGUUGGAAGAGCUGCAGCAACAACAGGAACAACAAGGACAAGAAAAAAAAAAGAAAGAACAAAAAAAACAAGAACAAGAAGAACAAAAAAAACAAGAACAACAAAAACAAAAACAACAACAACAACAACAACAACAACAACAACAACAACAACAACAANNNNNNNNNNAACAACAACAACAACAACAACAACAACAACAACAACAACAACAACAACAAGAAGAAAAAACAAAGAAAGAAUCACAUAACACAGAACAUGUGAAAACUAAAAAAAAACACGAAAAAGACAGAUUGUAUAAUUUUUUUCAAAAACUCAAAAAAAGUAAUAAAAAAGAAUCAACAGAUAAAGCGAAAUCAGCUAAAACUUCAUCAGUUAAAUAUGGCUAUGAAUAUUUUUUAAUAUGUAACACUUUAAGUUAUAAUGUAGUAUCAUCUUAUGAAAAAAAAAAAAAAAAAUACAUAACAAUUGAUUUUACACAUGAUGCUGAAGGUAAUCCUAAAGAGCAUAUUAUAUGUGGUGAUGUUUUGAUAUUAAUUGGUCAUAAAAACAUAGAAAAAUUACCCAAGGGAUUUUCUAGCUCUUAUUCAUUUCAUACUGGUUUUUUAAAAAAAAAUGCUUUAAAAGUUAUACAAAUAACAAAAGAAGAUAUGGACAUAAAUAGCAAUUUUGAAAGUUAUAUUCCCAAUAGUAUGAACAUAUCGAUCGUGUUAGAUGAUUGUACAAAUAGUGAUUGUAUGCGCGUUUAUAAUAACAAUUUAAAAAUGAAUAAUAAAAUAGAUGAUAUGAAAACAUUAGAAAUGUUAAAAAAAAAAAAAAAAAUGCAAACUAAUAUAUUAAACAAUAAUCCUUUCCCCUUUAAUAGCAACGAAAGUAAUUAUUUUUCAUUCGAUAGUAAUAGCAAUGGAAUAGAAAACAAAAAGACAAAUUAUAAUGUAAGUGAUCAGAAAAAAAAAGUAAUAUAUAGAGAGAAACAGUUUCUCGAUUUUAAUACCCGUGUUGAUCAUGACCAUUUUGCGCAGUCGUAUGACGAUAUGAGUGAAACGGAAAAACAAAAAAGAGAAACCCGAAUGAGAGAAACCCGAAUGAGAGAACCCCGAAUGAGAGAACCCCGAACGAGAGAACCCCGAAUGAGAGAAACCCCAAAAAAAGAAACCCCAAAAAAAGAAACCCCAAAAAAAGAAACCCNNNNNNNNNNCCCAAAAAAAGAAACCCCAAAAAAAGAAACCCCAAAAAAAGAAACCCAAAAAAUAGAAACCCAAAAAAUAGAAACCCAAAAAAUAGAAACCCAAAAAAUAGAAACCCAAAAAAUAGAAACCCCAAAAAAAGAAACCACCAAAAAAGAAACCG
ensembl:lncRNA